CUGCACAGUGCACCCCGGGCUUCUCCGAAGACUUCAUUGACGAUGAAGCCCCAUUGCGUGUGCUAAAAUGUGCCAUUCAGUGUUGCAGUUUUGUUCGAUACUUCCAAUGGCUGAUCUGUGUCAAAGCAAUGGCUAGAUCC